AUGCAGUGAUGACUCGAAUUUCUUCACCUGAAACCUGAUGCUUUAUAGCUUUUUAACCCUGAGCAUU